GGACCUGUAGCUCAGUUGGCUAGAGCACUUCCUCGACACGGAAGGGGUCGCUGGUUCGAGUCCAGUCAGGUCCACCA
rnacentral:tRNA from 2 species